rnacentral:rRNA from 1 species
GGACCCCACUGCUAUUGGGAUGGGACUAAGACAUGUUAGUCGAGCGUCUCUAAGCUAUGAUGGAGACGCGGCGCACAGCUCAGUAACACGUGGCUAACCUGCCCUUGGGACAGGGAUAACCCCGGGAAACUGGGGCUAAUACUUGAUAGGUGAGAACUCCUGGAAUGGAUUCUCGCUGAAAGGGCGUCUAGAUCAUGCUUUUAGGCGUUGCCCAAGGAGGGGGCCGCGGCCGAUCAGGUUGUUGGUGAGGUAACGGCUCACCAAGCCUUUAACCGGUACGGGCCGUGAGAGCGGUAGCCCGGAGAUGGGUACUGAGACAAGGGCCCAGGCCCUACGGGGCGCAGCAGUCGCGAAAACUCACCAAUUCACGAAAGUGUGAGUGGGCCAUCCCGAGUGCCGUCCGCUGAGGAUGGCUUUUCCUUAGUGUACAAAGCUGGGGGAAUAAGGAGAGGGCAAGUCUGGUGUCAGCCGCCGCGGUAAUACCAGCUCUCCGAGUGGUGGGGAUGUUUAUUGGGCCUAAAGCAUUCGUAGCCUGCUGGACAAGUCCUCCGUUAAAUCCAACGAUUCAAUCGUUGGGCCGCGGGGGAUACUGUUCGGCUAGGGGGCGGAAGAGGUCGACGGUAUUCUCGGGGUAGGGGUGAAAUCCUAUAAUCCCGGGAGGACCACCAGUGGCGAANGCUGUCGGCUAGAACGCGCCCGACGGUGAGGGAUGAAAGCUGGGGGAGCGAACCGGANUAGAUACCCGGGUAGUCCCAGCUGUAAACGAUGCANGCUANGUGUUGGCGCGGCUACGUGCCGCUCCAGUGCCGC